GACGAACGCUGGCGGCGUGCUUAACAUAUGCAAGUCGAACGAUGAAGCUGGAGCUUGCUCUAGCGGAUUAGUGGCGAACGGGUGAGUGACACGUGAGCAAUCUGCCCUUGACUCUGGGAUAACUGCGGGAAACUGUAGCUAAUACCGGAUACUUUCACCGGGGGGCAUCCUCUGGUGAUGAAAGAAUUUCGGUCAAGGAUGAGCUCGCGGCCUAUCAGCUUGUUGGUGAGGUAACGGCUCACCAAGGCGACGACGGGUAACCGGCCUGAGAGGGGGACCGGUCACACUGGGACUGAGACACGGCCCAGACUCCUACGGGAGGCAGCAGUGGGGAAUAUUGCACAAUGGGCGCAAGCCUGAUGCAGCAACGCCGCGUGAGGGAUGAAGGCCUUCGGGUUGUAAACCUCUUUUAGCAGGGAAGAAGCGAAAGUGACGGUACCUGCAGAAAAAGCACCGGCUAACUACGUGCCAGCCGCCGCGGUAA
rnacentral:rRNA from 1 species